CUGGCUGACCAUCCCUGCGGAAGCCUUUGCAGAGACGCCGCACCAGGUAGAGCCCAGGAGCCUCGGCAUGUGGGCACAGCUGUCUGCCGUGUUGGCCCUCCUUUGCCUGCUGCAGGUGCAGGCCGAGCUGCCCGUUCAGGCUGACUUCCAGCAAGAGCAGUUCACAGGCAGCUGGUACAGCAUCGGCCUGGCCUCCAACUCCCGCUGGUUCAAAGAGAAAAGGCAGGUCAUCAAGAUGUGCACCACGGUGGUCUCGCCCACGGAAGACGGGAACCUGGACAUCGCCUCCACCUACCCCAAGCUUGACCAGUGCGAGACCAAGAGGACCCUUUUCCUCCGGACGGAGGAGCCUGGGCGCUUCACCUACACCAGCCCUUGGUCAGGAAGUGCCCACAACAUCCGGGUGCUGGAGACCAACUACGACGAGUACGCGCUGCUGGGAGACACCAUCACCAAGGGGGCCGACACCUUCACCAUGGUCACCCUGUACGGGAGGCAGAAGCAGCUGCGCCCGGAGCUCCUGGCGAAGUUCACCCAGACGGCCUUGAACCAGGGCCUUGCCCAGGAGGAUAUCCUCGUCCUGCCCCGGACUGAUCUCUGCAUGGGAGAAAGUGUGUAGGUGAGUGGCUUUUGUUCUGGCUUUGGCUCGCCAGAAAGUAUCCAAGAAUGUAAAGUUACUCGCCUGGCUUCUGGCUCCCUCUUCCAAGGGAGGUGGGGGGGGGGCAAAGACCCCUUUCUCCCCAUAGCGCUGGAACUCUCCCUGUGGCCGCCUUUCCCCACCAGCCCAGCACCCUGCCUGCCUCUCGCCUGAUAGCAGCCUUUCUCCUGCCCCGGAAAUAUUAAUAACAGCAAUAAUAAAAGAAAAUGUAACACA